AAGAAACACCUUCAAGCCACAUUAAGGAUAUGUACACAAAGACUUUUAUCUCCAUUUUGAUAAUGAGUACAAAAAUAAAAAUAUGAACUGGAAAGAGAUUGGAAAGCUGAAAGUUGCAAAGAUGCAGUAGUGGCAAACCCACUACAGUUCUGAUGCAGAUGCCAAAGGCUCUGUGCCCUUCAAUCCCAUUAUUAGAAGGAACCUCCUCUCUUAGACAUGAAAGAAGAGGCAGAGGAACCUACAGCAGGCAAGGCAAGCUUCACCCUAGAAUACGCAGUGGGAAAGUGAGAAGCAAGAUUUCUCUAAGUACUCCGUCCUCAUGGAUCCUCUAUGAUUGAAAGAAGACUUCAGUGAACUGAAGAGGCAUGACUCUUCAGUGACAGAAUCUGUAGGUUUACAGUAUUUCACAUGAUGUGGAUCCAGAGAAAACAAUCCAUUUCUUUGGAGCACCUCUGAAUUUCUCAUCUGCAUUGGAAAUCAUUGGCAAGCUAAAUCUCUGAUACCUGAAGCCCCAGCCUGGCACUAGCUGGAAAAGAGGUAAGUGUUUGGUCUCAUCCCGUAUCUAAUGUCCAGUAGACAUCUAAAUAUCAAACA
rnacentral:lncRNA from 1 species